rnacentral:misc_RNA from 1 species
CCGAUGUACCAGCCAUACACUUCCUCACACUUACACCGAUUAAAUUACCAUUUCAUGCAUUAUUCCACUAAAGCCUCAACUCUGAUAGAGGCAUUUCAUUUAGCACAGAAAAAUGGGUUGCAGCUCCUCGAAGAGAAUUGAAGCCACUGUUGAUAUCUACCGCCCACCCCCAUCAAGCUUUGCAGUUUUUGAUAUCAACUCCAUACAAGAGCCAUGGCUCUCCGUGGAUAAUUCUGCUCAAGAAAACCAAGAGAAGCCCACCCACCUACCGGCCCCCAUACUCGAGAAGCUCAAAAAGUUGGAAUCCGAUGCUCCUCAUUCUUGGGAAGAGGUUAGCAAAGCCCUAGAGGAGCUCAAUAACAAAAAUUCUAUUGCCGCACCUCUAAGGCCGGAUACCCUGACCACGCCGGCGAAAGUUAGCACCACUAAUGCCGCCUCCGUCACUCCAACCCCAAAAAAGACACAAGCCCCACUUAAGAGCUCAUCUUUUCAUACCCUUGAAGAACUGGACGCGAAACUAUCUUCAAAACCCCAAAAAGAGCUAAGAAAAACCGAGUCCAUGCGCACCGAGUUGAAGAAACCAGAGGCCACAAAGACUGAGUCACGAGUUGUUUUUGAGCCGGCAACCCAGUCAGAGAACGUUAUCAAGCCGGUGAAAGAGAACAUAUUCAUAUUAAGGGAUAGGCUCGAGAGAGAGAAAGAAGGGAAGAUGGCAAACUAUGACAAGAUAAAGAAGGACCCACUGAGUGACUAUCCAGAGAAGUGUCCACCGGGAGGAGCUGACUCAGUGGUUAUCUACACAACGUCGUUACGCGGGGUGCUUAGAACAUACGAGAAUUGCAACCGCUUGCGCGCCUUAUUGGAAGUACACCGAGUGGUGUUCGACGAAAGGGACGUGUCCUUGCAUGGAGAGUUCUUGAAAGAGAUAAGAGAAUUGCUAGGAGAAGAUGCGAGCGUACCGAGGGCUUUUGUGAAAGGAAGGUACAUAGGAGGAGUGGAGGAGGUGCUGAAACUGAACGAGUCAGAUCGACUCGGGAGGAUACUGAGUUGGGCACGUGUGGAGAGAGGGGUGGGGAGACAGGUGUGUGAAGGGUGUGGAGGGGCUAGGUUUGUGCCGUGUUUGGAAUGUGGUGGUAGUUGUAAGGUAUUGGUUGAUGGAGUCAGGGAGAGGUGUGGCAAGUGUAAUGAGAAUGGAUUGGUCCUUUGUCCUGCUUGCCUCUAAUUAAUUGAUAUUGAUGGUAUGUUGUGGAGAUUUUAGUUUGAACUUGGCAUCUUGUGGCUACAAUUGGAUGAAGCAAUGUAUGGGGGUGUGGAGGAGCUUCCAAGUUUGUGUUUGGUGUAUUUUUCAUGUGAUGAUUUUGAAUUUGACAGAUUGAAAGGAAGUGGAUUGAGAAAAUGUAAAUUGUGUAGCU